GAUGCGCUAGCUAAUGCAGAUAAGCUCUGUGGCAUCAAUUCACCCUCCAGAAGAAACCCAAAUAGCAACACAGGAUGAAGGUCAAGGAUUAACUGAUGCUAAUGGAAAUGUUCCCAGUGACCGUCCAGAUAAAAUAUUGUAUCCCAGCUGAUGAGGCCGGCACAUGAUGACAACACUACAAGCACCAAGAAAAUUGAUGCAAUGGCCUGUCUUAAGUUGGCUUCCUCUAUUGGUCUUUUAUCUGACAAGACACCUUUGGCAAAGUCUCAUCAAUAUGCUACUUUUCAUCUGCCUGACACUGAAAUCAAUGGACUGCAGAAGAAGCCUCUCGAUCAGCAUUGUCAGAAAUGAUCACCAUGCUGGACGGAGCAUGCUACCUGAUUUCUCCUGACUGAACUCCCACAAAAGCAUGGCUGCAAAUCCCAGAGAAAGAAGAAAGAGAACUUACAUAAAGGAGGCUUUCUGGAGAACUCGCUGUAAGAGGGUCAAUGCGGAAAUAUGGAAUGUGCUUAGGAGUCCACUGAAGCAGCCCAG